rnacentral:rRNA from 2 species
UACGUAGGGCGCGAGCGUUGUCCGGAAUUAUUGGGCGUAAAGAGCUCGUAGGCGGCUUGUCACGUCGGUUGUGAAAGCCCGGGGCUUAACCCCGGGUCUGCAGUCGAUACGGGCAGGCUAGAGUUCGGUAGGGGAGAUCGGAAUUCCUGGUGUAGCGGUGAAAUGCGCAGAUAUCAGGAGGAACACCGGUGGCGAAGGCGGAUCUCUGGGCCGAUACUGACGCUGAGGAGCGAAAGCGUGGGGAGCGAACAGG